CUGUAUCCCCCUUUCUAGGCCCUGCAAUCCUGGGAAUUGAACUCCGUACUUACUGCUUGCUAGGGGAGUGAUGGCUACUAAAAGCCAGCUACUUUAGUAGAAAAACUAGACUUAAGCAGCCAAGAAGGGAACGGCCCUAACGAAAAUGCAUCCUAGUCGUUGAACGUUGGUCGUGAAGUAAUUGAGCACAUCUGUUACGGGACUCUCUUUGGGAAGUUCUUUGGCAAUUCCCACCACAGGGGGAAUUGCCCUCCGGUGUGUGAUUACUACGCCGCCAGUGAUCAGUGCAGACACUUGCCGUGAACUGCGAGUGGACCUUUGGAAUUAGAAGAAAUAAGAAAUCUGGGAAGAAAUAUGCUGCCUUUGUGUAGGAUUUGUUCCAACAAUCUGUUAAAACAUGGUGGAUUACUAUGAAGUUCUGGGCGUGCAGAGACAUGCCUCACCUGAGGACAUUAAAAAGGCGUAUCGGAAACAGGCACUUAAAUGGCAUCCAGACAAAAAUCCUGAAAAUAAAGAAGAGGCAGAGCGGAAAUUCAAACAAGUAGCUGAGGCAUAUGAGGUGUUAUCAGAUGCAAAAAAGCGGGACAUCUAUGACAAAUACGGCAAAGAAGGAUUAAAUUCUGGAGGAGGAGGUGGAAGUCAUUUUGACAGUCCAUUUGAGUUUGGCUUCACAUUCCGGAAUCCAGAUGAUGUCUUCAGGGAAUUUUUUGGUGGAAGGGACCCAUUUUCAUUUGACUUCUUUGAAGACCCAUUUGAUGACUUUUUUGGGAACCGGAGGGGUUCCCGAGGAAAUAGAAACCGAGGUACAGGCUCAUUUUUCUCUGCCUUCAGUGGAUUUCCUUCUUUUGGAGGUGGAUUUCCUGCUUUUGAUACAGGAUUCACUUCGUUUGGGUCACUAGGGCAUGGGGGUCUCACUUCAUUCUCUUCAGCAUCAUUUGGUGGCGGUGGAAUGGGCAACUUCAAAUCAAUAUCAACUUCUACUAAGAUUGUUAAUGGCAAAAAAAUCACUACAAAGAGAAUUGUGGAGAAUGGUCAAGAAAGAGUAGAAGUUGAAGAAGAUGGACAGUUAAAGUCCUUGACGAUAAAUGGUGUGGCCGACGAGAACGCCCUUGCAGAAGAAUGCCAGCGGAGAGGCCAGCACAUACCAGCUCUGGCCCAUCAUGGCCCGGCCCCAGCAACAGUCCGGGUCCCCUCCCCGGCCCGGCCCCCGGCCCCGUCUCCAGCCCCGACUUCAGCCCCGUCUUCGGCCCCUUCUGUCAGCACCCGCCCACAGAAGCCACCCAGGCCUGCCCCGAUGGCCAAACUUGUGUCUAAAAGCAACUGGGAAGAUCAAGAGCAGGACAGGCAGCGGGUUCCUGGCAACUGGGAUGCCCCCAUGACCUCAGCAGGUGUGCAGAAGGGAGCUGGUGUGAAGCACCCCCAAAGUGAUUUUUCCUCAGACUCAGGACAGCGACAACAGAAGUCAGGCCUGUGUUGCUGCAUUCUGACCUGAGCCAGGCAUGGGGAGCCAGGGUGCCUGGGUGGGGGCGGGAAGGUGCCAGGCCUGCCGAGCAGGGGUAGAGGAGAUCCCUGCACCCAACUCACCUCCCACAGCCACUCUGUACAGCCUAGACCACCCCAUGAUUAAAACGGGGGUCCCAGUAUUCUGAUGUGUAUGGAGUAUGUUGUCUGGGUCAAGUUGACUGCUGAGGAAAUGCUAGGUGCUGCUUCUGUCCCUAAAGGCUCCUUUUUAUAAUUUUGAUCCUAGAUCUUGAGAUCUGUCACUUAACCUGACUUGCCCUAAGGCCACACUUACUAUAUUAGCUUCACUUUCUACACAAAAGACGCAGGCAGGUACCCAGUGGAGCUCUCUCAGGUGAGCCAUAGGUAAAGAUGGAAGCCUGGCUCCUUCCUGCCCCUGUGCUCAUGAUGGGAUUGUCCACUUCCCAGCUCUACCCUCAGCCAGCAGCUUGUACAUCUUCAGGAGUAUUUCCUAUAGAACAUUCUGGAUGGUCAGCAUGUACAAAUAGAGCUUUCCCAGUUAGACCUAAGCCCUGUAUUAGUGUAGUUUUGUUGCACAGAAGUGAGACAGGUUUGUGCCCAUGGCUGCGCAAACACAGUAGGCCAAACUACAGAGGAGAUGUAGCUUGGUAGUCCAUGUCUGAUUGUGUUGUAAAGUGCUCCAAGUGGGAAACAGGGCAAAGGUCAAUUUCAUUGCUUCCCAGAAUUUUGUAUUAAAGUCAAGUCUCCAAGUCCCUUCUGGUUCUCCUCAGAAGAGAAUGAAGCAGAGAGCCCUCUAGGGUUCUAGAGGGAAAAAAAAAAAAAAGCACACA